UACAGAGGUCUCAAGCGUUGUUCGGAUUCAUUGGGCGUAAAGGGUGCGUAGGCGGUUCGGCAAGUCGGAUGUGAAAUCUCCACGCUUAACGUGGAGGGGCCAUUCGAAACUGCCGUGACUCGAGUCCGGUAGGGGAGUUCGGAAUUCCCGGUGUAGCGGUGAAAUGCGCAGAUAUCGGGAGGAACACCAGUGGCGAAGGCGGAACUCUGGGCCGGAACUGACGCUGAGGAGCGAAAGCGUGGGGAGCGAACAGG
rnacentral:rRNA from 1 species